UGCCAGCCGCCGCGGUAAUACGGAGGGUGCAAGCGUUGUUCGGAAUUACUGGGCGUAAAGCGCGCGUAGGCGGCUAUAUAAGUCAGAUGUGAAAGCCCGCGGCUCAACCGUGGAAGUGCAUUUGAAACUGUAUAGCUUGAGUACUGGAGGGGGUAGUGGAAUUCCCGGUGUAGAGGUGAAAUUCGUAGAUAUCGGGAGGAAUACCGAUGGCGAAGGCAUCUCUCUGGGUCGAUAUUGACGCUGAGGCGCGAAGGCGUGGGUAGCGAACGGGAUUAGAUA
rnacentral:rRNA from 1 species